GGAGAAUUAACCAAGCUGAACAUCCUGAAACGGAAAGUCUCCGACAAAGAGGUAGCAAAAAUGUAUAAGUCAGGAGUAUGUUCCAACUACGAAGACACGCUAGAAAACGACAUCCACCUCUCUUGGGAGACGCUGCUGUCAGAUGACACUGAAAAACAUGGGAAUAUUAUAACGUUGAACGUAACUUGUCCUGCCCACACACACGAGCCAACCACUGGGAUACCCACCACUGUGGGACCUACAAAAGAGUCUGAGGGGGGUUGCAACAAUCGCUGGGCUUUCCUACGCUUAUCCGACAUUUACAAUAAGACAAUCGAGAAGGAAAUGCUUCAAGACUUGAGAAAGAGAUGGGAGCUUCUUGCCGAGUUUGAUGGCCAUCAAAUAGACGACACCCUAAUAGCACAUUUGACAAAACAUCACUGUAGCAGCGAAAUACUAAGAGGAGACAACGAAACUGAGGAAUCUGGUGAUUGCAAUAACCGUUGGGCCAUCCUCCGUUUUCCUGACUUUUUCGAGAACGAAGUAACAUCAGAAAUGAUCGAGGACUUGAGAGGACGCUGGGAGUUACUAGCUGAGUUUACAGGGCAUACAACUGAUAAUGCUCUAAUAGCUCACCUGAAAAAACAUCACUGCAAAACUGUGGAAUAAUUGACAGAUCUACAAAACCAAAAAGUCACGUGACACCUUAACUGAUCUCUGCUGAGUGCUGUGUGUGAUAUGAUGGAUUAACAAUUGAAAC